GGGCAAAUUAAAGUUAUCUGGCGGCUGUGGGGAACGCGAUGUCAGAGCAUGUGCCUGCUGUAUUAAUAGCUCGCAGGAGGCACCCGAGGGGACCGAGAAAGCUUGCAGGAAUACCUCGGGCGGCAAUAACCGUUUGUAGGGGCUGGCGGCCGGCGCUGAGGGUGCUGCAGGCACAGGCUUUGUGUGCAUGGCCUCGAACCUGUGCGGUGCGUGCUGCGGGAGGGCGUCGGGCUGCCGAGCCCCCGGGGAAAGUGAUCAUAGCAUCACAGAGUGGCCUGGGUCAAAAAGGACCGCGAUUAUAAUCUAUUUUCAACCCCCUGCUAUGUGCAGGGUCGCCAACCACCAGACCAGGCUGCCCAGAGCCACAUCCAGCCUGGCCUUGAAUGCCUCCAGAGAUGGGGCAUCCACAGCCUCUUUGGGCAACCUGUUGCAGCAAUGUGGCAGUGUGCACGUGUCUGUGAGCAUUUGGGGGAAUUAGAAACGGGUGCAGCCUCUGCAAGGCAAGGACAUGGAAUCUCCUCGUGUCUGAUGCAGUGUGAGCCUGCCAGCCUUGAGGUCUUCAACAUCCCGGCAUGUUCCAGAGGCUGCCUUCCCAUAGAAGAGGCAAUGUGCCCUGGUUUCAACCCGGCAAGGUCAGACCCUCUGCAAGCACUGCAGUCAGUCACCCUUCCAGGAAGCACAUGCUUGGAAAUGCUCAGGUUGCUUGACUCGCACCCUGUGUGAGAGAUCAGUGAGGACUGCAGCAAAACCUUACCUCUCUUCAGUGCAGAGGGAAGCACUUCCGUCUCAAAUGCGGGUUACGUGGCCUUCUUCACAUGUUCCCUCUGCCUGAUGUCUGUACAAGCUUGUGAUUCGCUGUUGCAUGGAGUAGUUAUGUGAAAGCCAGUGUAAAAAAUUGGAAGUAAAUAUCCUUUUGACAUCUCAGGGCUUCUGCUGCUGGUUUCACACGAACCCACAGGAUGGCAGUGUUUGCAGUGCUGCCUAGCUGGACGAGGUCUCCUCAGUGCAUGCAGGCAGGUUUGGCAUGGAGAUUACUGAUGAAGAGUUUGAGCUGCUACUUGACAGAAUCCCCCUUGAUGAAGAUGGAAGUGUCAGAUACCCCCAGUUCAUGGCCAGGUUUGAUUCCUGAUUGCUUCAGCUGUCAUGUCCAAGUAAAUUCUGAAGUCGAGAAGCCAACGUCCCUAAAAGAAGCAACAUUCAUCUUAAGGGCCGUGUGGAAUUGUCCUAAUCCGAGAAGAGCCACUGCCUCCCUGUGUGAUCUGACAGACUGACAUAUCACUUGACCUCGGUCACGGCAGCUGUACAACGAGGUGGAAAAGGCGGCUGAUGGACAACCAGGGGAUGCCUUUCAGCACAGCUUGCUCGGGCAAACUGAACUGUUAUCCUGCAGGACCACUAGGAAAUCUCUGGAGACAAAGACUGAGUGCCAGACAUCUUUCUGAUUCACACUUUCAUUCCCUGAUGACACCCAAGCAGAGCUGGGCUGCUGGGCAAUGGAAGCUCUCCCUGCACUAUUUUAUCCAUUAGCUCAGAUACAGUUGAGAAGAAUUUAUACUGUGUGAAAGAACACAUACAAGUUGUGAGCAACCACGUGGUCUGAAUGUUAAGGAUUCAUCCUUCCUCCUACACAAGGUAUUUAAGGUCAUGUUUUAACAUUUGAAAAACAACUUGUAGUCCUGAACUGUUAUAUUUUUUAGGACUAAAUGUGAACAGGGCUUUAGUGAAUAGAUGCACUGCUAGUUGAAGAUGCUGUAGCAGCUCUGACUCCAAAUUUUGAAGUUGGGGACUAAAUCAGUGUUUCACUGAGCAGCACUUGCACAUUUUGAGUGGUAAGGAAAAUACAAAGUAUAUCUGAAAACGCAUGAUAACAGAGAAUCGUUGCAGCUGGAAGGAACAUCUGGGGAUCAUCAAGUCCAACUCUCCUGCUAAAGCUGGUUCCCUACAGUAGGCUGCAACUGUCGUCAUGGAACAAACCUAAAAGGGCAGAUCUGCACUGUGCUUAGUGCUGUGAUGUUUGCCUUGCUGAGUGAUCAGCCAAGCCAAACUUCCUCUUCUUAAGGGUCUUUGGGUCAGUUAUUGAUGUAUUCACUAGUGCAAAUUGUCUGGCUUUGACAGGAAUUUUUAAAUAAUGUCUUUCUUCACAAUGUUUUGCUUUUGCAUGUCUCUCUUUACAGUCUUCUGCAUUUUGUCCCUUUGCCCUUAGCCUUCAGCUGAUGACUGUUAGAACAAGAGUCACCAUCCAUUCAAAUGCACUUCAUCUGUUAUUCUUGUUUAAAAGCAUCUUGUGCUCUAGUGAAGUCUCUAGAUCUGCUAGGAAAGGUCUUUUAUCAAAAAGGAAAAAAAUUGACACUUAAGAGAGCAUAAUUUUCUUUGUUGACUCAUUUUAUCACUUUGUCUACCUUUUAAUCAUUGAGGAGCUGUAAAAAUCCAGGUACCCAGCUGAACACAAAAACACCACACCAGUUUUGCAUUGGCUCCACUCCUAUCCAUAUACAGAAUGCCUUUACAUGGAAAAGGCAAACAUCCCAGGAGUCUGUAAGAAGUAGGCUGUAGAUGUUACAGCUUGAAUUCAUGGGAGGGCUUCCCUGGAGCCUGAACCACAUCCCUCCAGCUGAAAGGAGAGCCCAGCAUUCCCUUUCUUAAAGGUUGGUACAAUAUCUAGCUACGCUUCUUUAUCUUCUGUGUUUUAAAACCGCCAGGAUUGCUGAGAAGUUCUAGGCAGAAUGGCUCUGUACAUCCAAAUCAUAAACUAAUGAUAGA